AUGAACGCUAGCUACAGGCUUAACACAUGCAAGUCGAGGGGCAGCAUGGUCUUAGCUUGCUAAGGCCGAUGGCGACCGGCGCACGGGUGAGUAACACGUAUCCAACCUGCCGUCUACUCUUGGACAGCCUUCUGAAAGGAAGAUUAAUACAAGAUGGCAUCAUGAGUCCGCAUGUUCACAUGAUUAAAGGUAUUCCGGUAGACGAUGGGGAUGCGUUCCAUUAGAUAGUAGGCGGGGUAACGGCCCACCUAGUCUUCGAUGGAUAGGGGUUCUGAGAGGAAGGUCCCCCACAUUGGAACUGAGACACGGUCCAAACUCCUACGGGAGGCAGCAGUGAGGAAUAUUGGUCAAUGGGCGAGAGCCUGAACCAGCCAAGUAGCGUGAAGGAUGACUGCCCUAUGGGUUGUAAACUUCUUUUAUAAAGGAAUAAAGUCGGGUAUGGAUACCCGUUUGCAUGUACUUUAUGAAUAAGGAUCGGCUAACUCCGUGCCAGCAGCCGCGGUAAUACGGAGGAUCCGAGCGUUAUCCGGAUUUAUUGGGUUUAAAGGGAGCGUAGAUGGAUGUUUAAGUCAGUUGUGAAAGUUUGCGGCUCAACCGUAAAAUUGCAGUUGAUACUGGAUAUCUUGAGUGCAGUUGAGGCAGGCGGAAUUCGUGGUGUAGCGGUGAAAUGCUUAGAUAUCACGAGGAACUCCGAUUGCGAAGGCAGCCUGCUAAGCUGCAACUGACAUUGAGGCUCGAAAGUGUGGGUAUCAAACAGGAUUAGAUACCCUGGUAGUCCACACGGUAAACGAUGAAUACUCGCUGUUUGCGAUAUACAGCAAGCGGCCAAGCGAAAGCGUUAAGUAUUCCACCUGGGGAGUACGCCGGCAACGGUGAAACUCAAAGGAAUUGACGGGGGCCCGCACAAGCGGAGGAACAUGUGGUUUAAUUCGAUGAUACGCGAGGAACCUUACCCGGGCUUAAAUUGCAGAUGAAUUACGGUGAAAGCCGUAAGCCGCAAGGCAUCUGUGAAGGUGCUGCAUGGUUGUCGUCAGCUCGUGCCGUGAGGUGUCGGCUUAAGUGCCAUAACGAGCGCAACCCUUGUUGUCAGUUACUAACAGGUUCCGCUGAGGACUCUGACAAGACUGCCAUCGUAAGAUGUGAGGAAGGUGGGGAUGACGUCAAAUCAGCACGGCCCUUACGUCCGGGGCUACACACGUGUUACAAUGGGGGGUACAGAGGGCCGCUACCACGCGAGUGGAUGCCAAUCCCAAAAACCUCUCUCAGUUCGGACUGGAGUCUGCAACCCGACUCCACGAAGCUGGAUUCGCUAGUAAUCGCGCAUCAGCCACGGCGCGGUGAAUACGUUCCCGGGCCUUGUACACACCGCCCGUCAAGCCAUGGGAGCCGGGGGUACCUGAAGUGCGUAACCGCGAGGAGCGCCCUAGGGUAAAACUGGUGACUGGGGCU
rnacentral:rRNA from 1 species